GGAUGCGAUCAUACCAGCACUAAAGCACCGGAUCCCAUUAAAACUCCGAAAUUAAGCGUGCUUGGACGAGAGUAGUACUAGGAUGGGUGAUCUCCUGGGAUGUCCUCGUGUUGCAUCCU
rfam:Oryza punctata chromosome 11, whole genome shotgun sequence.